GAGCUCCAACACAGCCAGUGCUGUGCAAAGGAGCUGCUGAUGAGGAGUGGGUGCCCACCCCAGAGAGGUUUCUGGAGUAUUAAAUGCUGCUGUAGAGCUCCUUUUUGGGGGAUGAGAAUGUGUGUUUGUAUUUAAUUUCAGACUAGCUUUAGUCUGCAGACUGAGUGCUCCUCUCCUUCUGGAAGGAUUCCUGGAGCAGAGCUUCAACUUGAUUUCAUCCACAAAAAAUCCCAUCAGCAUGCUUGGAGGCAGCAUUGUGCCACAGACCAAAGCAUAAAAGGGGGAAUGAACAGGAUUCCUGCCAAAACACACUCAUGUCCUGAACUCAACGAGACACCUAGCAUGGGGACACCGUGGUGGUUGCCAAAAGAUCAGAAGUGGUGGUUGAGAUUUUGAUACUAAUGAAACACAAUGAAUUUUCAAAAACCAGUUGUCAAACAGCAAAAAACUGCCUCCAUCAAAUUCUCCCUCUAACUGUAUGAAAGCAAUGGCAUAGGGAGGUCUAGAUUAACCCCUUCUUAGUCCUGGUUUGUCUUCCAUGGUGGAAAGACCUUUGAGUCCUGUCUGGGAGCAGAGGACUAGGCACAUCUUCAGAGCUCUGGCCACUCACAGCCCUGUUACACAUACUUGAAAAUUACUUGGCAUAGUUCUGUAUAUUAAUUCAGAAAUUCAGAGGGGUUCUGUGUUAUCUCAGUACACAACACUCCUCAGUGUUCCUGUAUUGGGUCUGGCUGAGCUGGAAUUCAUUUUCCCCAGCAGCUCUCCCAGUGCUGUGCUUUGCAUUGGUAUCCAGAGAGGUGUUGAGAACACCUGAGUGCUUUGGUGGCUGCUGAGCAGUGCUGG